rnacentral:lncRNA from 1 species
AAUGGAUUUACGACUGCCCAUUAAUAUCUAAUAGCACAGUUGAGACAAGGCUGGACAUUUUAACAGGACAUUGCCUGGGGCCUGGGGGUCAUAAAAGGAAAAGAAAUAGAGUUACUGAAACAAGCCAAUGUGCUUUCCAAGUUAGGGUUUAUUUCACUUCGUUAGUAGAUGAAGCCCCGGUUUAAUACCUACUGUGCUACCAUGACCACUGUCCUUUUUUGACUCCUGGCUAGACCUUAGAGACCCUCUAACAUUUAGGCUUAAAGACUGAGGCCCAGAGAGGAAUGGGCUUCCCCCUCUCCUGCCGGUGAAGGUGUGUCAUCAGUCAACCCACUGGGGGAGCCACCUGUUACCUGGGUGGCUGAUGCCAUGAUGACACGCGGAGUGGAAUAAGGCAGACACACAGGACAAGUCCUGUGUGAUUCCACUUAUAUGAGGUGCCUGGAGUAGUCAGAGUCAUAGAGACAGAAAGUAGAAUGUUCAUUGCCAGGGAUCUGGGGGAGAGAGGUUUGGGGAAUUAGUGUUUAAUGGGUACAGAGUUUCAGUUUGGGAUGAUGGAAAAGGUUUGGAGACGGACGGCAGCAAUGGUUGCACAACACUAUGAAUAUGCUUAAUGGCACUGAACCCACAGUGAUUGAAAUGGUUAUGUCCCUUUUAGGUAGAGUCUAAAGAAUAAUGCAAUGAAUUUAUUUACAGAACGGAAACAGACUCACAGACAAACAAAAUAGACUUAUGGCUACCAAAGGGGAAGGGGGGGGCUGAUAAAUUAGGAGUUUGGGAUUAGCAGAUACUCACACUGUAUAUAAAAUAGAUAAACAGCAAGGACCUACUGUACAGCACGGGAAACUACACUUCAAAACUUGUAAUAAACCAUGAUGGAAAAGAAAUAUAAAUACAUACACGUAUAUAACUUUGCUGUACACCUGAAACUAACACAACACUGCCAACCAACCAUAGUUCAAUUUUAAAAAGGACAGAAUGGUUAACUUGGUACAUUUUUAUGUUAUGUAGCUUGUACCAUAUAUUUUUUUAAAGUUAAUAUUAAAAAGCUUUANCUUAGUCUGCGUUCUUUUAACUUCAGUCUGAUUUCUUUCAGCCCUUCACUGGUUUGCACAAGAGGGUGCCCAGGGUGCUGUUUAUAACUUGUGUAACAUGUAUGACUGGAGCUGAAUAUCCCUUGCCAUUUCCACUCUUUUAAUGAUAUUAAUUUUGGCUAUAAAUUUAUGAGGUUUACAAAGUAGUCCGCACUUCCCAGGCAUUUGCAAUUUCCCUUUAGUAAAACUGAAACUUUGAUGUGCUAGUUUUUCUUUCACAAAAAAAAAAAAUAAGCGUAAAACGCUAGGUCCCUUAGGAAAAUAUUUUCAUUGGCAUCACCUUCUUCCAGCCAAGGUCCCUUGGUGCAGCCUCAAGCCAGGGCCCGGAUGCCUCAGGGGCUUUCUUCAGGCUUAGGUUCAGAUCUUAGCCUCCCUUCAUAUUAGGUAUUGAGAACCAGUGGCUUAUGUGGAAGGGAAGAAGACCAUUAGCCCCUCUUGGAGCAUUCAAAUGAGAUGCUUGUUGCAGACCACAUAGCUGGCUUCUGUGAAAGCUACUCCCUGCUCCCAUUGCUUUCUGCCUCAGCCCAGCUGGCUCUGCACCCAGCCUUGACCCUUGCUGCCCCCACCUGAGCUCUUGACUUCUUUGCUCCCUGCCCUGUUCCUCCCUACUCUUCCCAUAUCAGUAAAAUGGCACCACCAUCCAUCCAGGUGCUCAAGCCAAACUCGGGGAGGUAUUAGAAAUUCUCCUCCCUGGCUCCACUCUUGUUUCCAUAUUCACCAGGAAGCCCUAUUGGAGCAGUGAGGCCCCUGCUUUCACCCUCAUCACCUGGUCCAGGCCAGCAUCACCCCACAAGGACUCUCUGCAGGUCUCCUGUUCCACCUACAAACAAUUCUCCACCCAGAGCCAGACUGAGUUUGUCAGUGACAAACCUGACCAUGUCACUUCCUUGCUUUAAACCUUUUCAUGGCUUUCCAUACUAUUUAGCAUGAAAUUCCCAUUCCAUCCCAUGGAUUUGAAUGUCCUCUGUCACCUGUCCCCUGCCUUUCCCUCGGACCCCAUUGCUCACCACCUCUGCUCACCCCGUGCCUUCCGGCCACUCAGCCUUCUGCCUCUUCGUUGCUGAGUCUGCCCCCUCCUCAGAGUCUCUGCACUUACUCUGCCUUAGGCCUAGAAUGCUCUUUCCCCACAGCAUUGCAGAGCUGGCUCAUCCUUGUCAUUUGUUUAGGCCCCCUGCAAGCAUCACCCCAGAGACACCUCCCCUGGACUCCAGCUAGGGAACACCCCGCCCCGCAUCUACUCGGUAGCAAAUGACUAUCCUUCUUCUUCUUCUUUUUAAGGACUUACUCUAUCUGAAAAGAACUAUUUCAUUGUCUGUCUUCUCCCUGUGAAAUGUAAGGUCUGGGACAAAAAAGAUUUUUUUGUCUUAUUCACUGUGCGCCCUUGAAACACGGGUUCCUGGUAUGAAGCAGAAGCUGAAUAAGUGUUGCUUAGUGAACACAGGAAUGACCUGGGUUACCCCCUCUGCUUGUUACUUGGCCCCUCAUAUCAUUUCUUGGCCACCGAGAACUUGUCCAGUUGUGUCUUCCUUGGGUUGAAGGAAAGUGUCCUCUGUCACAUGCAGGCUCUCAAGGCCUUUGGAGGUGAUGACGGUGCAAAAUAGUUUAGUUUUUAUACUCUAAAGGGCUAGGGGGAUAGUUCCCGUCGUGGCUCUGUGGAAACGAAUCUGACUAGUAACCAGGAGCACACAGGUUCAAUCCCUGGCCUCACUCAGUGGGUUAAGGAUCCACUGUUGCUGUGACCUGUGGUGUAGGUUGCAGAAGCGGCUUGGAUCCCAAGUGGCUGUGGCUGUGGUGUAGGCCGGUGGCUGCAGCUCCAAUUUACCCCCUAGCCUGGGAACCUCCAUAUGCCGUGGGUGUGGCCCUUAAAAAAAAAAAGACAAUAAAUAAAUGGCUAGGGGGCCUUCCUCUCCUCCCAGUGAACCAGUAUGCAUUGGUCUUGGGGUCUUCUAGACUUUUCUCUCCUCCAGCUUUUGAUGUAUAAUCUUCAGUGAUGCAUCUGAUAGGUGGCCUUGUUUACUGGGAGGUGCUGGCUCCAUCAGAGGAUGAGUUGUGGACACAUGAAGAGCAGAGCUUUGGGCAACUUACUGAAAUUCUCUGAGUCUCGGUGUCCCCAUCUGGAUGAUAACCAUCAUGGGUUGGGUGGGGGUGGAGAUUAGUUUUGGAGUCUUGAGUGUUGAUUGCAUAGGAAGGAGCCUGUGGAAGGCAAGGUGUAACACACAGAUGAGAGGCGGUGGCAGUGGAACUUCAGGCUGUGUAAGAGGAGGAAGCACCGGAGUUGGCAGGCGUUUUCCUCUCUGCGUGGAGCAUUGCGUGUUUCCAUCCACUGAGUGAUGCACAGAGCAGACUCAGAAGAGCUGCCAAGUCUAUGUCAGGGCCUCUGGGUUGUACAGUGGAUCCAACCCUCUGUCACAUCUUGGGUCCAUCUCCUAGACUCUUGUGCUCCCAGUGACACCACUUCUGGGAAGGUCCUGAAAGGAGGUGUCAGCAGCAUCCAAAAUAAUUCCUUGGAGUUCCCAUUAUGGCUCAGUGGUAAUGAACCAGUCUAGUAU